UGUUACAGCUGUGUCAGCUCUGCCCUGGACCAACUCUGAGAAAAGUGGGUUGAGUCUGAGAUCUUCGGGGAUUUGGCCCUGCUCAAGGAGAGAGUUGGGUAUCUCCAUAGAACAUCAGAUCAUAAGUCCCUGGGAAACAGCCCAAAAUCUCCAAAUCCUUCUGUUCAUUUAUUUCAGAAACAUCCUGGGCUGAGAUAGAAACCCAAGUCAGACUUUGAGUUUGCUUUGGGUAUUCAGGAAUUCCUGUCAAAAUGAAAUCUGCUCAACCGAGAGGAGGAUGAGUUGGGCUCCAGUUCUGGUCUGGAGGCAAGAAGUCCUAAAUCAGCGUCACCAGGCUGAAAUCAAGGACACUUAUAAUGACAUUUACGGCUCACUGGAUAAUCCAGGAUAAUCUCCCCAUCUCAAGAUUCUUAAUCACAUCUGCAAAGACCCUUCUUCUACAUAAGGUAAUGUUUAUAGUUUCUAGGGAUUAGAACCUUGUAUCUUUGGGAUCAUCAUUCAGCCUACUAUAGGCAUGCACUCUGUUCUCUCUCACACACAUAGUAACACUCAAUAUAUAUACUAUUCUAGGAGUCGUCACUGGACAACUUGGAGAACACUAACUGAUAAGUGCUUACUGAGCACCUGCUCUGUGCUGAGCUCUGUCCAAGUUGCAGCAGCAAAACAAAAGAAGUAUGAAACACAACCUCUGCCUUGAAGUAAAAGACAAAUAUGGUUGGAAGACAAGACUCAUACACAAGUGACAUAAAUAGAAACACUGCAAGACAGAAGAUAGUCAUAUAGUAUAGAUUAUAAAUGCUGUGAGAGUUCAAAUAAAGGAGAUCUUUAUUUAAAAAGUAAAGAAAAUAUUAGCAAUUUUAAAGCCUGCAGUUGUUCAGAGACAGUCUACAUUUUUCACUACUUGGGGAGUUCCAUAUAAAAUUACUUGUAACACCUACAAGGUCCGAGUGAAUAAAACACUGGAUGAUUAAAUAACUUUAAUGGCAUUAUAGACUUUUGCAAAAGCUUGAAGCAGUAUCUUAUAUCCAACUGGUCAUCUUUGUUAUUAAUUAUAAUCGGAUGUUGAUGAUACUCUGUACUGAAGUACAAAUUGGUUUGUAGAAGAUGAAUUUCUUUUCUUCU